GACGAACGCUGGCGGCGUGCUUAACACAUGCAAGUCGAACGGUGAAGGGACCGGUUUUUGCUGGUUCUGGAUGAGUGGCGAACGUGUGAGUAACACGUGAGUAACCUGCCCCCUUCUUCUGGAUAACCGCAUGAAAGUGUGGCUAAUACGGGAUUUUCUGCGCCUGCUGCAUGGUGGGUGUGGGAAAGAUAUUGUUUCGGUGGGGGAUGGGCUCGCGGCCUAUCAGCUUGUUGGUGGGGUGAUGGCCUACCAAGGCGGUGACGGGUAGCCGGCCUGAGAGGGUGGACGGUCACACUGGGACUGAGACACGGCCCAGACUCCUACGGGAGGCAGCAGUGGGGAAUAUUGCACAAUGGGCGCAAGCCUGAUGCAGCGACGCCGCGUGAGGGAUGGAGGCCUUCGGGUUGUAAACCUCUUUCGCCAGUGAAGCAGGCCUGUCCCUUUUGUGGGUGGGUUGACGGUAGCUGGAUAAGAAGCGCUGGCUAACUACGUG
rnacentral:rRNA from 1 species